GAAUGUGAAAUGCUAAUCACAAAAUCGUUCAGGUUGGAAAAGACCCUUGGGAUCAUCAAGUCCAACCAUCAGCUUUACUCUACAAAGUUCUCCUCUACACCAUAUCUCCCAACAUCUCAUAUAA